rnacentral:pre_miRNA from 17 species
AAGGCUAACAAGAACUGCUGUGAGUUGGCUUAAUCUCAGCUGGCAACUGUGAGUGUUUAAUAGUUUCCCCCACAGUGGUCACUGGGAUUAUGCUAAAUACAGUAAUUUCUUUGUACUGUAUC